AGGGAAGUGUCAUAAUGACCACGUCCACAUAAAUGGAUAAUCUGGAACUGCUUUAACAGUUCAUCUAAGUUCUCUCGGAUGGCGUUGUUAAUAGCAACAGCACCAAGACUUCCGCCCAUUACGAGAAGAACUGGUUUGGAAUCAUCGAAUCCA
rnacentral:ncRNA from 1 species